rnacentral:rRNA from 1 species
GACGAGCGCUGGCGGCGUGCUUAACACAUACAAGUCGAACGGGAUCCAUGUUGUAGCAAUACUUCGGAAGAUCUAGUGGCGAACGGGUGAGGAACACGUGAGAAACCUGCCCCGAACUUCGGGAUAACAGUUGGAAACGAUUGCUAAUACCGAAUACCUCUGCGAAGUGGCAUCACUUUGCAAAGAAAGAAUUUCGGUUCGGGAGGGUCUCGCGGCCUAUCAGCUAGUUGGUGGGGUAACGGCCUACCAAGGCAUCGACGGGUAGCUGGUCUGAGAGGAUGAUCGGCCACACUGGGACUGAGACACGGCCCAGACUCCUACGGGAGGCAGCAGUGGGGAAUCUUGUGCAAUGGGCGAAAGCCUGACACAGCAACGCCGCGUGCGGGAAGAAGGCCUUCGGGUCGUAAACCGCUUUCAGCAGGAACGAAAAUGACGGUACCUGCAGAAGAAGGUGCGGCCAACUACGUGCCAGCCGCCGCCGUAA